UACGUAGGGGGCCAGCGUUGUUCGGAAUUACUGGGUGUAAAGGGUUCGUAGGCGGUGCGGCAAGUCGGGAGUGAAAUCUCUGGGCUCAACCCAGAGGCUGCUUCCGAAACUGCUGUGCUUGAGUGUGGGAGAGGCGCGUGGAAUUGCAGGUGUAGCGGUGAAAUGCGUAGAUAUCUGCAGGAACACCCGUGGCGAAAGCGGCGCGCUGGACCACUACUGACGCUGAAGAACGAAAGCUGGGGGAGCAAACAGG
rnacentral:rRNA from 1 species